rnacentral:sRNA from 1 species
CCGUAUUAAUCUGGUCCGGAGAAAUAAAGUGAAUAUGGGUAUCGAUGCCACCCGCCGUCAGAAUCUUGCCCUCACCAGCAAUAAUGUCCGUGGAAACACCAAUCGGGAUUGUCACCCCAUCCAUAGUUUCCGGGUUUCCCGCAUGGCCAAUCUUUAUAAUGUGACCGUCUCUAAUCGCCAGGUCAGCCUUAUAAAUUCCCGACCAAUCCAGCACCACGACAUUAGUUAUUACAGUAUCGGGAAUUUCUGGGUGCUCGGCACGAGUAGCCUCGCCAUUCUG